UACGGAGGGUGCAAGCGUUGUUCGGAAUUACUGGGCGUAAAGGGCGCGUAGGCGGCCUGUUAAGUCGAACGUGAAAUCCCCGGGCUCAACCCGGGAACUGCGUCCGAUACUGGCAGGCUUGAAUCCGGGAGAGGGAUGCGGAAUUCCAGGUGUAGCGGUGAAAUGCGUAGAUAUCUGGAGGAACACCGGUGGCGAAGGCGGCAUCCUGGACCGGUAUUGACGCUGAGGCGCGAAAGCCAGGGGAGCAAACGGG
rnacentral:rRNA from 1 species